UACGGAGGGUGCUAGCGUUGUUCGGAAUCAUUGGGCGUAAAGCGCGUGUAGGCGGCUAGGUAAGUCUGCUCUGAAAGCCCGGGGCUCAACCCCGGGAGGCGGGUGGAUACUGUCUAGCUCGAGUCCGGAAGAGGAGUGUGGAAUUCCUGGUGUAGCGGUGAAAUGCGCAGAUAUCAGGAGGAACACCAAUGGCGAAGGCAGCACUCUGGGACGUGACUGACGCUGAGACGCGAAAGCGUGGGGAGCAAACAGG
rnacentral:rRNA from 1 species